GGCUCAGCCGCUCGCGGUGGAGAAAGCAGGCCGCGGAGGAGGCGGGCGCCCAGGCCUGCCCGGACAGGAAGUGGGCCCAGCUUUCCCACUCCUCGCUCCGCUCCUUCCUCCGCGGGAAGGGCAGGCCCCGGAGGCAGCGAGCGCCCCGGGGGUGGCCGGGCAGCCGGAUGCUCCCGGGGUUGCGGGCUGUGGCCCCGGGGGCUGAGGGCGGCGCGGGUGCGGCGGAAGCAGGGAAGCCGCGAACCGGCCUUCUGGCUGGCCACAGCGCCCUGCACGGACGAUCAGUGAAUGGAGAUUACUCAAGUAUUUAUCGAGAACUUGCAGUGGGCUAGGCACAGUUCAGGUCCACAGUUAUUUCACUUCUAAAUAAAUAUGGUUUUUUAAAAGUGGCACGCGGUGGAAUGUAAUUGAGACAGGAUGGAGUUCCUAGAGAAAUUUUACUUCCUCAAUCUGCACUCCACCUUACUUAAAAUACAGUCUUGGGUCUGUAAUUCCCUUAUCUGACUCUCAAGGAAAUGACAAAGUAAUGCCUAGAUUGGACUAAACCUCAUUUAACUUCAAGGCUGACCUUUCUCAAAGUUGAACCUUCGUCUUGUGAGGAACAGAAAGAUCAAGAACUCUGAAGCACCUCGACUUUCCACCUGUGAAGAUGUGUUCAAAUUUGCAACGUGCGGCCACACCUAUGAGGUCACUCCCUCUGGAGGAAACCAGCUGCCACUUUGUGAGGAUACUCAUAGUCCUGUGGAGGCAUAUCCUCCAUAUGGCUGAGACCUCCUGCGAACAACCAUCACUGACUUGCCAGACAUGAGUGUGCCACCUUGGAAGCAGAUUUUCCAGCCCCAGUUAAGCCUUCAGAUGACAUCAGCCCCUGCUAAUCUCUUGACUACAACCUCAUGAGAGACCCUGAGCCAGAACUAGCCAGGCUUACCCCUCAUGGUUACAAAGUGGCUGCAACAGCUCCAGGUGUUCUAUCCUUUAACACAGAAUAACUCAAACAACAAGACCCAAUAUUCAGACAAGAAGGAAAGGGACUUUUGGAGAGUGAAGAAAACUUUCCUAGAAACCUCAAACUUCUCCCCAUGCCUUAUUGGCCAGAUUGUAUCCCAUGCCCAUUUCUAAACCAAUCAUUGGCAAAGUGAGUGGAAUUGACGUGAUUAGAUUAACUUUACCAAGAAUGCAUCCUCAGAGAGGCUGAGAAAAAGUCCAGCCUCCUUUGAAGAGCCUGGCUACCUUUCACCUGAACAAAACAAGAAUUCUGAUGAAAAAUGGAGAAUGUAUGUGGAGCAGGCACCCGGAGUGUCUAUGCCAGGAUUUUUUUUCAGUGCGUUUCACCGGUUAUAUUUUUGUCUCUUUACCUUACAAGAUAUGUGGCACGUUUGCCUAAAACAAGCCUUGCUUUCUGAUUUCUGUGCACUAGGCACUUAAACCUUGCAAAUGUCGCUUACCUAACAGUCACUGUCAAGGAGUACCUGGCUAAAGAAUCUCCAGCUAGACAAAGUAGAAGUGUCUGUGCUCUGGCAGUUGAAUAUAUUGUAUCAGGCUCAACAGCACCUUUCACCAAAGGAUGAGACUUCACAACCAUUAGAUCUUCUUUUAUUUUGUUUUUAUUAAAAAAAAAAAUUUUAACACACCAUUGCUAACUUGAAGCCAUUAGAUCUUCUUACCCCCAAUACCACAAAAGUUUAGUGGAAUCAGGGGUAUACCAAGGCAGGUGGAGUAGGGGAGCUGGGAGUGGUCAGCCCCCAGGGCAGGCAAUGAGGGAUUGUGAAUCUGUGAAGAAUUUUAAAGCAAUGAUACAGCUCUAAAUGCAAUGUACUAUCCUGGACUUAGCCCUGGAAAAGAAAAAAGAUAUUAGUGGAAAAACUGGUAAAAUUCAAAUAAUGUCUGUAGUUUGGUUAAUAGUAUUAUACCAAUGUUAAUUUCUGUGUUUUGAUAAAUGUACCAUGGUUAUGUAAGCUGGAUGAAAGAUAUGUGGGAAAUCUCUCUACUAUUUCUGCAACUCUCCUGUAAACCUAAAAAUGUUUCAAAAUAAAAGAUUUAAUGCUAAAAUUGACUGAAAA
rnacentral:lncRNA from 1 species